UGGGGAAUUUUGCGCAAUGGGGGAAACCCUGACGCAGCAACGCCGCGUGCGGGAUGCGGCCCUCGGGUUGUAAACCGCUUUCAGCAGGGAAGAUAUUGACGGUACCUGCAGAAGAAGCUCCGGCUAACUACGUGCC
rnacentral:rRNA from 1 species